rnacentral:rRNA from 1 species
ACAAAAACAUGUCUCUUUGAUUAUUUAAUUUAUAGGGAGUCUAACCUGCCCGGUGAAUUGUUUAACGGCCGCAGUACUUUGACUGUGCGAAGGUAGCAUAAUCAUUUGCCUUAUAAUUGAAGGCUUGUAUGAAUGGUUUGACGAAAAUAAAUCUGUCUUAAUUUAAAUUUUUUGAAUUUAACUUUUUAGUGAAGAGGCUUAAAUUAUAUUGAUAGACAAGAAGACCCUGUCGAGCUUUAAAUUUUUUAUAAAUUUUAAUUAUAAUAUUAUUUGUUAUUUUUAGUUGGGGUGAUUAAGGAAUAAAAUAAAUUUCCUUAUUUUAAUAUUAUUAAUUUAUUAAUUUUGAUCCAUAUAUUUUGAUUAAUAGAAUUAGUUACCGCAGGGAUAACAGCAUAAUCUUUUUUGAGAGUUCAUAUCGAAAAAUUGGUUUGUGACCUCGAUGUUGGAUUAAAGUUUCCUAAAGGUGCAGAAGUUUUUAAGGGUUAGUCUGUUCGACUAUUAAAACUUUACAUGAGCUGAG